UCGCAAAUCGCGACGCAAUGAGUAGUUAGUUGGAUGAUGGUUUAUGAAAGAAAUCCACCCGUACACCCAACAACAAUUACAACUUUAACGCGUUUUUUUGCCACAGGUUUAAAUACCAACAAUCAGUUGUAAAAUUGUUCCAGAUUUGGAAAACCAAACCCCAACUGAAAAUGAAGAAGGAGGAAAUAGGGCACUGAUUGUACUCUCAUAUAACCAUAUGCAUGUUUUUCAUUGAGUGUGAAAGAAUGCAAAAUAUUAUCUGUAACGUAACAUGUAAUUACUUCUGAAAUUGCUACAAAAAUGAAUAUUAUAAGUUUGUUUUAAAUACAUUGAUUUGUAUUAUUUUCCUUUCCGUAUCCUAAUAUUAGAAACAGGUGGAAGAAAAAGUGCACCGAGUGCAACCGAUUUAAUACAACCAAAUGCUAGUUUAACAACUAAGAUAAAACAUUAAUACAAUUUUAAUUCAAAAAGAGAUAGAUAUAGCAUUGUUCUGUCAGUAUUUCUGGUAAUAUAGGUUGGUACGGUAGCGCUGGUCUUUAAUAUGACAGGAACGGUAACAAAUUCUAUAUUUGAUACUCCCCAUUCGUUGAAAUGACUAUCUUGUUGGAGGUAGAUAGAGUUCCGGCAAGCCAAAUAUAGUUAGAGCACAGUUGAAACCAUGCAACAAUCAGCGUCUCACAGUAUCAUUUACAUGAUAGGUGAGAGCCUAUGCGCAAGAACUGAUUGGCAUCUUGCACUAAUAUCAGGAUGAUAGGCAAGAGCCGGUAUCGCACCAUUCAGUUCUGCGAAAAUGAAGGUAUGCGUUCCAUAUGUUUUGGCGUACCCGAACUUUAUGUACACGCCCAGGAUAAUCGAUAUAACGUAUGGGCAAAUGGUACGGAUUAGAUUUGAAUUUGGUAACGGUCGUGUCAUGUGAAAGGUCGGCGCUAGCAAUACCAAUUCGAUUAUGAAAUCAAAUAUGGAGAAAAAGACCUGGAGACCGAGUGCACUAAUCGAUCGGCGUCUCACACUAUCAUUUGCAUUAUAGGUGAGAGCCCUUGCUCGACACGGCAAGGCACACAUUAAGUGGCAUCUUGCACUAUCAUCCAAAUUAUGAUAGGCAAGUGCCAGCGCCUAUCAUCCAGUCUCAAGGUCUCGGCAAACGUGCUAUAUUUGAAGCAAAAAAUCAUAAUUAAUAAAUAAUUGAUUAUAACUCCAGUUGUAUGCCGAUUGCAACCACAACCGGAAUGGACAGCCAGAAAUACUGACAGAACAAUGCUAUAUCUAUCUCUUUUUGAAUUAAAAUUGUAUUAAUGUUUUAUCUUAGUUGUUAAACUAGCAUUUGGUUGUAUUAAAUCGGUUGCACUCGGUGCACUUUUUCUUCCACCUGUUUCUAAUAUUAGGAUACGGAAAGGAAAAUAAUACAAAUCAAUGUAUUUAAAACAAACUUAUAAUAUUCAUUUUUGUAGCAAUUUCAGAAGUAAUUACAUGUUACGUAACAGAUAAUAUUUUGCAUUCUUUCACACUCAAUGAAAAACAUGCAUAUGGUUAUAUGAGAGUACAAUCAGUGCCCUAUUUCCUCCUUCUUCAUUUUCAGUUGGGGUUUGGUUUUCCAAAUCUGGAACAAUUUUACAACUGAUUGUUGGUAUUUAAACCUGUGGCAAAAAAACGCGUUAAAGUUGUAAUUGUUGUUGGGUGUACGGGUGGAUUUCUUUCAUAAACCAUCAUCCAACUAACUACUCAUUGUGUCGCGAUUUGCGAAAUAUACGGUACCGUGUUGCGGCAGGUAUCGUUUGAUGUUUGCGGAUUCUGGGUUAUAUUAGCUAUUUCUUAGUGAGUCAUCGUUCAUUUACUAAUUCUGACUUCUGUGGUAAAUCUACACUUGAAUAAUAGUACCAUGUCAAAGCCCACUAAAUGGUUUUUCCCUUCUUUCUCCUUCUCUUACAUGCUCUUAAAUAUCAUUUAAUGGACACACUGCGAUGACGGAGCGUUGCCAGCAUGAAUCUAAUCGAGGAGAGGAAAAGUGGGAAAUGUGCACCGGAUCGGCCAGAAAACAUAACGAGAGGCUUGACUCCUUCCUUCCUUCAUUCUCCAAAUUGCUAGCGGAGUAACAUCAUACAUUGGAGCAUGUCAGCAUAUUGCAGUAUGCCUGCCAAGCAUCCCGGAGUUUCCAUGCGUAGCCGGACCGAUUAAGCUAGGAAGUUGCAUCGAUGAUGGAUGGUGCCGGCUUUUUAACGGUGGGUGUUGGUCGAUAUAUUUUACAUGUAUUGAGGAGCAUAGGAUUGUACUGUGCGGUUGUUGCUGGAUCCGGUAAAUGUAAGUAAAUGGUAUACCUUUGGCUGGAGCUGCGUUAAAACUGUUUGGUGGUAACAAUCGUGAAGGUAUACCUUUGGCUGGAGCUGCGUUAAAACUGUUUGGUGGUAACAGUCGUGAAGGUAU